GUGUCAGCCGCCGCGGUAAGACGGAGGGCGCGAGCGUUGUUCGGAAUUACUGGGCGUAAAGCGCGCGCAGGCGGACGGUGCAAGUCAGGGGUGAAAUUCUGGGGCUCAACCCCGGAGCUGCUCUUGAUACUGCCUGUCUAGGGACCGGUAGGGGCCGGUGGAAUUCCCGGUGUAGCGGUGGAAUGCGUAGAGAUCGGGAAGAACACCCGUGGCGAAGGCGGCCGGCUGGGCCGGAUCCGACGCUGAGGCGCGAAAGCGAGGGGAGCAAACAGGAUUAGAUACCCUGGUAGUCCACGCCGUAAACGAUGGGUGCUAGAUGCCGGGGGGAGCGACCCUUUCGGUGUCGUAGCUAACGCGUUAAGCACCCCGCCUGGGGAGUACGGCCGCAAGGCUAAA
rnacentral:rRNA from 1 species